rnacentral:lncRNA from 1 species
GGGUUUAGGGUUUAGAGUUGAGAAAUGAGGUUUUGGGGAUAAGAUUUAAAAUUUUGAAAAAUAAAAAAAUUAAAAUUUUCAAAGGAUAAACUUAGAAAUGUGCUAUUUUGGUCAUUUUAGUUUUUGAGUGCUAUUUUUGUGAUAUAAACUUAGAAAAGUGUUAUUUUGGAGAUUUGUCCUUUAGUUUAUCCGCCUGCAAAAAAAAAAUCUCUGUAUCUAAAGUCUAAACGAUGGCUAAGAGAGUUCGCUGAAGCACUGUUUGAUGGCUUUGGUUCCGUUUAAAUUUACAGAAAU